GGGCCCAAAUUCGUUUGUUUCUUCUCUGAUUUUUCUUUGUUUUUCUUUGUUUUCACAAUCACCUGCCCAAUCAAUCC
rnacentral:ribozyme from 1 species